CUUACAGAGGAUUUGAUCCUGGUCCAGGAUGAACGCUGGCGGCGUGGAUAAGGCAUGCAAGUCGAACGGAACAAACAAGAAGCUCGUAGUGAAAGUCCGAUGAUAGCAAUAUCUGAAGUCCGGAUCUUUGAGCGACGAAUUUGUUUAGUGGCAAACGAGUCAGUAACGCCUUGGAACCUGCCCCGAAGACGGAAAUAAUUCGCCGAAAGGCGAACUAAUGUCCGAUAGUCUCGCAAGAGUAACGGGAACCCGCAAGGGAACCGCUUCGGGAGGGGCCUAGGUCCGAUCAGCUAGUUGGUAGGGUAACGGCCUACCAAGGCUAUGACCGGUAGGGGGCCCGAGAGGGUGUUCCCCGACGAUGCAACUGAGACACGGUGCAUACUCCUACGGGAGGCAGCAGUCGAGAAUAUUCGACAAUGGGCGAAAGCCUGAUCGAGCGACGCCGCGUGCAGGAAGAAGGCCUUCGGGUCGUAAACUGCGGUAGCAGGGGAAGAACUUCGGUGACGGUACCCUGCGGAAAGAGGCGGGUAACUACGUGCCAGCACCAGCGGUAAUACGUAGACCUCGAGCGUUAUCCGGAUUUAUUGGGCGUAAAGCGUGUGUAGGAGGUUCGGGAAGUCUGAUGUCAAAUCUCAGGGCCUAACCCUGAGGCCGCAUUGGAUACUGCCGGACUAGAGGAUGUGAGAGGUUGAUGGAACGCACGGUGUAGGGGUGACAUCCGUUGAUAUCGUGCGGAACACCAAAGGCGAAGGCAGUCAACUGGAACAUUCCUGACUCUGAGACACGAAAGCGUGGGGAGCAAAAAGGAUUAGAUACCCUUGUAGUCCACGCCGUAAACGAUGCCUGCUGGCUGUUUCGAGUAUCGACCCUCGGAGUGGCGAAGCUAACGCGUUAAGCAGGCCGCCUGGGAAGUACGAGCGCAAGCUUAAAACUCAAAGGAAUAGACGGGGACUCGCACAAGCG
rfam:Candidatus Liptonbacteria bacterium GWC1_60_9 gwc1_scaffold_5897, whole genome shotgun sequence.